AACGCUAGCUACAGGCUUAACACAUGCAAGUCGAGGGGCAGCACGGGAGUAGCAAUACAACUGGUGGCGACCGGCGCACGGGUGAGUAACGCGUAUGCAACCUACCUAUCAGAGGGGAAUAACCCGGCGAAAGUCGGACUAAUACCGCAUAAAACAGGGGCACCGCAUGGUGAUAUUUGUUAAAGAAAUUCGCUGAUAGAUGGGCAUGCGUUCCAUUAGGUAGUUGGUGAGGUAACGGCUCACCAAGCCGACGAUGGAUAGGGGAACUGAGAGGUUGGUCCCCCACACUGGUACUGAGACACGGACCAGACUCCUACGGGAGGCAGCAGUGAGGAAUAUUGGUCAAUGGGCGAGAGCCUGAACCAGCCAAGUCGCGUGAAGGAAGAAGGAUCUAUGGUUCGUAAACUUCUUUUGCAGGGGAAUAAAGUGCGGGACGUGUCCUGUUUUGUAUGUACCCUGAGAAUAAGGAUCGGCUAACUCCGUGCCAGCAGCCGCGGUAAUACGGAGGAUCCGAGCGUUAUCCGGAUUUAUUGGGUUUAAAGGGUGCGUAGGCGGAAUAAUAAGUCAGUUGUGAAAGUUUGCGGCUCAACCGUAAAAUUGCAGUUGAUACUGUUAUUCUUGAGUGUACAUAAGGUAGGCGGAAUUCGUGGUGUAGCGGUGAAAUGCUUAGAUAUCACGAAGAACUCCGAUUG
rnacentral:rRNA from 1 species